rnacentral:pre_miRNA from 1 species
GUAGUAUUCCCUUCGUCCCAAAAUUCUUGUCUUACAUUUGUUUAGAUACGGAUGUAUCUAACACUAAAAUGUAACUAGAUACAUCCGUAUUUAGACAAAUUUAAGACAAGAAUUUUGGGUCGGAGGGAGUACAAA